rnacentral:tRNA from 1 species
CGUUUGGCGCAAUGGAUAGCGCACCGGACUUCUAUCUGAGAGAAAGUGAGGCGACGAAGUUCAUCCGGGGGUUCAGGGUUCGAGUCCCU